rnacentral:rRNA from 1 species
GAUGAACGCUGGCGGCGUGCCUAAUACAUGCAAGUCGAGCGAACGGACGAGAAGCUUGCUUCUCUGAUGUUAGCGGCGGACGGGUGAGUAACACGUGGAUAACCUACCUAUAAGACUGGGAUAACUUCGGGAAACCGGAGCUAAUACCGGAUAAUAUUUUGAACCGCAUGGUUCAAAAGUGAAAGACGGUCUUGCUGUCACUUAUAGAUGGAUCCGCGCUGCAUUAGCUAGUUUGUAAGGUAACGGCUUACCAAGGCAGCGAUGCAUAGCCGACCUGAGAGGUUGAUCCGCCACACGGGAACUGAGACACGGUCCAGACUCCUACGGGAGGCAGCAGUAGGGAGUCGUCCACAAUGGGCGAAAGCCUGACGGAGCAACGCCGCGUGAGUGAUGAAGGUCUUCGGAUCGUAAAACUCUGUUAUUAGGGAAGAACAUAUGUAUAAGUAACUGUGCACAUCUUGACGAUACCUAAUCAGAAAGCCACGGCUAACUACGUG